rnacentral:tRNA from 1 species
CUUCGUGGUGGCACAGGUUGUCGGUCUCGCCGUCGGAGUCGGCCUGUUGGCGGCCCUCUACGCCGACGCCGGUGCCGCCGCCGACCAGGUGGUC